CCUGACGGCACUAGCGCGGUGGUCCCACCUGACCCCAUGCCGAACUCAGAAGUGAAACGCCGUAGCGCCGAUGGUAGUGUGGGGUCUCCCCAUGCGAGAGUAGGGAACUGCCAGGC
rnacentral:rRNA from 3 species